rnacentral:rRNA from 1 species
CCUACGGGGGGCAGCAGUAGGGAAUUUUCCACAAUGGGCGAAAGCCUGAUGGAGCAACGCCGCGUGGGUGAAGAAGGUCUUCGGAUCGUAAAACUCUGUUGUUAGAGAAGAAAGUGCGUGAGAGUAACUGUUCACGUUUCGACGGUAUCUAACCAGAAAGCCACGGCUAACUACGUGCCAGCAGCCGCGGUAAUACGUAGGUGGCAAGCGUUAUCCGGAUUUAUUGGGCGUAAAGGGAACGCAGGCGGUCUUUUAAGUCUGAUGUGAAAGCCUUCGGCUUAACCGGAGUAGUGCAUUGGAAACUGGGAGACUUGAGUGCAGAAGAGGAGAGUGGAACUCCAGGUGUAGCGGUGAAAUGCGUAGAUAUAUGGAAGAACACCAGUGGCGAAGGCGGCUCUCUGGUCUGUAACUGACGCUGAGGUUCGAAAGCGUGGGUAGCAAACAGGAUUAGAUACCCCUGUAGUC